GAGGGUGUAGCUCAGUGGUAGAGUGCAUGCUUAGCAUUCAUGAGGUCCUGGGUUCAAUUCCCAGUACCUCCA
rnacentral:tRNA from 1 species